rnacentral:rRNA from 2 species
CGCUGAAUAAGCAUAUCAAUAAGCGGAGGAAAAGAAACUAACAAGGAUUCCCCUAGUAACUGCGAGUGAAGCGGGAAAAGCUCAAAUUUAAAAUCUGGCGGUCUUAUGGCCGUCCGAGUUGUAGUCUGGAGAAGUGCUUUCCGCGCUGGACCGUGUACAAGUCUCUUGGAACAGAGCGUCAUAGAGGGUGAGAAUCCCGUCUUUGACACGGACUACCAGUGCUUUGUGAUGCGCUCUCAAAGAGUCGAGUUGUUUGGGAAUGCAGCUCAAAAUGGGUGGUAAAUUCCAUCUAAAGCUAAAUAUUGGCGAGAGACCGAUAGCGAACAAGUACCGUGAGGGAAAGAUGAAAAGCACUUUGGAAAGAGAGUUAAACAGUACGUGAAAUUGCUGAAAGGGAAACGCUUGAAGUCAGUCGCGUUGGCCAGGACUCAGCCUUGCUUUUGCUUGGUGCAUUUUCUGGUUGACGGGCCAGCAUCGAUUUUGACCAUUGGAAAAAGAUUAGGGGAAUGUGGCACCUUCGGGUGUGUUAUAGCCCUUAGUCACAUACAGUGGUUGGGAUCGAGGACCGCAGCACGCCUUUAUUGGCCGGGUUCGCCCACGUCGUGCUUAGGAUGCUGGGGUAAUGGCUUUAAACGACCCGUCUUGAAACACGGACCAAGGAGUCUAACAUGCCUGCGAGUGUUUGGGUGGAAAACCCGAGCGCGUAAUGAAAGUGAAAGUUGAGAUCCUUGUCAUGGGGAGCAUCGACGCCCGGACCUGAACUUCGGUGAUGGAUCUGCGGUAGAGCAUGUAUGUUGGGACCCGAAAGAUGGUGAACUAUGCCUGAAUAGGGUGAAGCCAGAGGAAACUCUGGUGGAGGCUCGUAGCGAUUCUGACGUGCAAAUCGAUCGUCAAAUUUGGGUAUAGGGGCGAAAGACUAAUCGAACCAUCUAGUUGCUGGUUCCUGCCGAAGUUCCCUCA